rnacentral:rRNA from 1 species
UGGGGAAUAUUGCACAAUGGGCGCAAGCCUGAUGCAGCCAUGCCGCGUGUAUGAAGAAGGCCUUCGGGUUGUAAAGCACUUUCAGCGGGGAGGAAGGCGAUAAGGUUAAUAACCUUGUCGAUUGACGUUACCCGCAGAAGAAGCACCGGCUAACUCCGUGCCAGCAGCCGCGGUAAUACGGAGGGUGCAAGCGUUAAUCGGAAUUACUGGGCGUAAAGCGCACGCAGGCGGUCUGUCAAGUCGGAUGUGAAAUCCCCGGGCUUAAACUGGGAACUGCAUUCGAAACUGGCAGGCUAGAGUCUUGUAGAGGGGGGUAGAAUUCCAGGUGUAGCGGUGAAAUGCGUAGAGAUCUGGAGGAAUACCGGUGGCGAAGGCGGCCCCCUGGACAAAGACUGACGCUCAGGUGCGAAAGCGUGGGGAGCAAACAGG